AAAAGAAGUAGGUAGCUUAACCUUCGGGAGGGCGCUUACCACUUUGUGAUUCAUGACUGGGGUGAAGUCGUAACAAGGUAACCGUAGGGGAACCUGCGGUUGGAUCACCUCCUUACCUUAAAGAAGC
rnacentral:rRNA from 6 species